CAAACCUGCUUGAAUUUCGACAAAUGAAUCAACAGAAUUCUCCAUUAUCUUCGCCAAAUCAAAAGCAAAAUUUUUAGCCUUAGACACAAGUGAAAUUAACUCCAAAACUUUUACUCGUAAUGACCCGAGAGUCGCUAAAUCCACAUCCAUUGGAAGUUCAUCAAGUUUUAUCAAGCUGACAGCUUUGCCAUUUGAGUCUGAAUUAGAUUGCUCCUCAAGGGAUUUUAAGCAGAAUCUUGAACAUUGAUUGAUCGAUCCAAUACGAUCAGCAACAGAGAAAGAUUGCACAAGUGUUAAGCAGAAGUCAUGUAUAGCAACAACAUUCGUAGAUUUGGCCAGCAACAUUUUUUCAGCAAACUGUAUUAAAACAACGGAUAAAAAUCUAUUUGAUCCAAUUGUCUGCAAAACUAAACGAUAAAGUCGAAGUCGGCGAUGUUGAGGGAUGUGAGGGAACGCAUUCACAAAACAUGAUACCAGCAAGGAAGAGUCAAAAUCCUUACCUAAUCUUAUUAGUGCAGAUAUAACAGUUUUGACAGUCUGUUCAAUGACAUGGAUGGAAAAUGCAUCGUCUCUUGAUAAGACAGUACUACCCAUAAAAGUAAAUAUCGGCAUAACACCAUGUAAAACAGCUUCAGGAGCAGCAUUCGCUAGAGCACUAACAAGUAACAAUGCCUUAUUUUGAAUCUGUGGAUUAUUGGUAGAACGAAUACAACCCACUAAGGUAUCGAUUCUAAUGGAGGGUGACAGUUCAGUAAUCGGUGAGGCUCCUAUCAUCUCAUAUAACAAUCCUAGAAGUAGCUGAAGCAAAUAAUUUGAUGAAACAAUAUCCUCUUUCAAAGCGAUAACGCUAUUGAGAACUUCGAAUAAUGGAGAAGCCAACUUUGGAUAUGAAGCAG